CUCGUUCUCCUCUCUCGUGCUCUUAUCUACCAGGAAAAAGGUUCUCUCAUCUAAUAACAAAUCUGACCUCUCUCGUUCUCUUCUCUUCUAGAAAAAAAGUUCUCUCAUUAUAAUAAAUCAGAACUUUGUAAAUCUAUCAACCCUUUUCCAGUAAUAAGCCCUAAUUUCUUAAACCCUAGAAAAUUACUCUAAUUUUUUACACGUUUGAGACUCAAGAAGAAGAUUCAGAGACGUGACUGCUCAAGCCCUGGUACUGGAAAAAGUUCUUUGAUUGCUUAUACUGUUUGUCAAAUCGUCGAUACUUCUACUCGAGAGUAAGUUCUGAAAAACUCAAACCUUUCUUUUUAAUUUAAUUUUGUAAUUUCAAUAUGGGUUUUUGUAUCGGGUACAAGUAUGUUUUAGGGGAUUAUGGUGUGGGGUUGUUUUGAUCUCCGGUAAUAGUUGAUACUGGUAUUAUGGCUUUGCCUGCUACUAUGAAGGUUCUUGGACUUUUCCCAGGGAUAUACUAAUGAUAAUAUUCAUGACGUUUUUGUAAUGAUAUUAUGAGUUUUCGAUCGAGAUAUUGCUGAGGUUUAGUAAAGCACGGGAAAUAGUUUCUUACGGAGAGCUUAUGGGAGACACAUUUGGAAAGUAUGUGAGGAUUGCAUUGCAGGCUUGUGUAUUUAGCAAUAGCCAUCACCGAGAUCUUUUCGAGGAAUUAGGAGGCUGCCAAAGAAGUUAGAUAAGCUAGUCGGUUAGCUGUUCACAAUGUUGGAGUGCUUAUCGUGUACAUGAUUAUCAUCGGUGAUAUAAUUUCUGGAACAUCUGCAAGUGGAACACAUCACUCUGGAUGGUUCGGUGUGCAUUGGUGGAAUGGGCGGUUCUUUGUGUUGCUUUCACCAUACUUGGUGUAUUUGCCCCACUAGCAUUCAUUAAGCGUGUGUGUAAGUUUAUUCUGUGACUUAUAUAUCAAAUAUUGAACUAAGUAUGCAUGCCUACCUUAAUCUCAUUAGACGACAAAUAUAAAUGUUUUGUUUUAUGCAGAAGCGGGAAGCAACCUUUUUGCUUUAGCUUGUCUUUCAUAACCUUUGCUUGAAGUCCUGGAUUCUGUGUCAAACAGAUUAGGUUUACAAAGUCUCUUGGUUCGAAUACUCACUGGAGAUAUGGGAACAUGUGCCGUUAGUACUUGUUUAGAGUUGGGGGAUAUCUGUAGAGAAGUUGGUCUACCUUCUGGUGUACUCAACAUUGUAACUGAAUUAAGUCCUGAAGUUGAUGCUCUCUUAACAUCUUAUCCUCAUGUUGACAAGUGCAGAGCAAUGGAUUAGGAGCAUAGAACUAAAGCUUGUGUCUGCUACUGGUCUUUUCCAAUCAGAAAAAGAGGCAUGGCAAAGAGACCUUGAGGAUGUUUAAGAAACUUGGCGAUGUGAUCUUCUCAAGCUAUUAUGCAACUUAUGUUCUUUGUAGCUUAUUUCCUAAAUCAAGCUUGGAAAAAACAAAUACCGACUCAUUGCAUAAUAUCUUGAAGUGAGGUGUAAGGCAUUAGAAACUCAAAGCGAGGUAUUUUUGGCCAGAUCUGGAGAAGGAGUUUGAAGAGCUCAAGUUACAAUAUAAAAAAAAUUAAAGCUUUCAAAGGCGUGAUGCGCAACAUGCGUCAAUUUCAAGCACAAAUGCAGCAGAGCAGCAGAUUCUGGUAUGGGAUACCAUUCAUUUAGAAACACUCAUUUUGCAUAGAACUAUUUGUGAUCAGUUAUAUUCUGAUGUCCCAAAAAAUUAUGCAGUAGUUUGCAAUGUAGCGUCUAAAUGAGUUUUGAUUAUGAAUUUUCUAGCUGAAUAGGAACUUAAAAAUCUACAUUAAUUGUAGUGUCUUUAACUGAAGUGUUUUUCAGUUUAGCUAUUCUUGUAUUGACAUCAAUAUGUAGCACUAGAACUUAAAUACGAACAGUCAGCAUUAUUGAGCCGUCA